rnacentral:lncRNA from 1 species
UUAUCCAUCAACUCAAUCUCAGCAAUGAUGUAGGGAGAUAGCAGUCUUGAGAGCCUGACUGUAAAGAGAGGAGAAAGUUGUAUUUCAAUUACAAUUUCUCCCUGAAUAUAGCAAGAGCCAUAGUGCUGGCACCAGACUCCAGAGCUUUACUUUACACUCUGAGCAUGAGAAAGGGAUAAAGAGGAAAUCACAGAAACACUUCUGAGACAGAGUGUUUGAGGGAAUGAGGAAAAGACAGAAGAACAGGUCAGAGGAAUUUGCUGAUACCUAGGUGGCAGGAAGGUGUGAUUUGGAAAAGCGUGAUUAAGCUUGGGUCAGUAGAAACCCCCAGAGCAUUGGGGGAGAAUCUGAGAUUGUGUGGGAUGGUUCUCUGCUUACUCCUUACAUUUGACAAUUUGUCACCAGCCAGAAAGGUAUCAGAGGGGAAAAGAUGUAUAUCAAUAAAUGAAUGUUGAUACAUGUCAAUUCUGAUUUCCCACAGCCUAAGGACAGUGUUCAAGAAAUCCAGGAAUCCUCCCAAGGGGCAGAAGCAGUCACAGUCCUGGUGGAAUGGCGGAGGCCUGGGGCCAGGACCAGGAUAACACAGAGCUGCAACGACAGUGUCCACACCCAACUAGUAGUGGUGGCAGAUAGACACCUCAAGCCUGAGGGAGACUGGCAGUGUGGACUCUGAACACAGAAGCUGAUGUCUAGAGAGCAGCAUGAUGAGAAACCUUAAUCAGCAGACAGCAAAGACCCAGAGAGCAGCACAUAGAAUGGAAGACCCUUUCACCACUGCUCUCGAAAAAACUGCUUGCUUUUGGGGAAUAAGAUGACAUCUUGGGAAAGUGAGGGAGUGGGGAAGGAGCUGUGAAAGACUGAUCAUCUGCACUAAAGAGACUGAGUUGCUCUAAAGACGACAGACUUAUUUCCAGCUGACUGGCAAGACCCAGUGGUUCCCUGAGUCUCCCUGCCAGAACCUCCACUACCUAGCAGAAUGAGCUGAUAGAGGAUUAAGUGUGUUUUGUUUUAGUUUAACCAAGAAUGAAGACUUUCUCAUUCCUGUAAAAGUUCAGAAGUAUCUGAAGAAGACCAUAAAUACCACACUCCUUCUAGAUCUAUUGUUCCACCAUUUCUAGGAUGUCACAAUUUCCCUGAUGGUCCAAGAUAGUGGUAUUUAUAUUUCAAAAAGAAGGUUGAAAAAAGGAAGGGGGAAGAACAGAAAGGACAUGCACCAGAUUUCCUUCAAAAAAGGCUCUUACAAGUUGUCAAAUCUAAUCCACUUAAGUCCCACUAGCCAGAUAUUAGCUUCAUGGCCACAUAUGGCUUCCAAAAAUACUGGGUAAUGCAGAAUUUUGGGGGUCACUGUAUUAGUGUGUUCUCAGGCUGCUAAUAAAGUCAUACCUGAGACUGAGUAAUUUAUAAAGGAAAGAGGUUUAAUUGAAUCACAGUUCCGCAUGGAAGGAGAGGCCUCACAAUCAUGGCGGAAGGUGAAUGAGGAGCAAAGUCAUGUCUUAGAUGGUGGCAGGGAAGAGGGUUUGUGCAGGGGAACUCUAACUUAUAAAACCAUCAGAUCUUAUGAGUCUUAUUCACUGCCAUGAGAACAGUAUGGGAGAAACCGCCUCCAUUAUUCAAUUAUCUCUACCUGGCCCCACCCUUGACACAUGGGGAUUAUUACAAUUAGAGGUGAGAUUUGUGUGGGGACACACAGCCAAACCGUAUCAGUCACCAUGACUAUCUAAAAGUUCUACUAUUUCAGAAAAAAGACACAGAGAUGUUGGGAGAAAAUGAGGAACUCUGUCAUAGGGUCAUAGAUGUAAGACACUAUAGAGGGAAGUGAUGACCGAGAUACAGCCUGGUGAUGAUUCAUUAGUCUUUUAGAGUUUAUCACACAUUUGACCAUAGCAGGACUGCAAGUGCUAGCUUUUAACACAGUGAUGUUCAUGUUAUUGCUUGUUACUAUAGGUAUUUCAAAAAGGGAUUAGGAGAGGUAGGUCCAGUUCUGCUGGCCCAACACUCCUCAAAAUCGAUCUUUGAGGUUUUAAUUAUUUAAAAAUUACACAGAGGAAAGACGCUGUUUAGUGUCACAAACCGUGUCUUUGGCUUAUUUUGCAAUAUCCAUUGUUUUUAAUACUACUUUUUAGGCUAUUAUUCCUUUCAGCCUUACAGCAAUCAAACAUAAUUUUUCCUCAAUUCAUUUCCCACCAGACUACUCACUAAUUUUCCAUUCCUUCUUACCACAAAUUCUCACACAAAGUGGUGUUUAUUUUUGUUCCCUGCAACCUGUCGGCCUCUCUUUUCAUUCUAGUGAUACUACCUAAAAAAACUAUAUUGAGACAUAAUUUCAUAACUUUUAAAUAACUUUAAUGAGUUGUUUUCUAACUUUAUUGGUGACAAAGGCAUCACUCACUUCAAGUGCAUAAGUCAGUGAUAUUUUAAGUAAAAUGACCAAGUUGUACAGCCAUCACCAUAAACAAGUUUUAGAAUAUUUCCAUCAUCCCAAUAAGUUGUGUUUGCUCCUUCUCCUCACCCUAGGUAGCCACUAAUUUGCAUUCUGUCUCUGUAGAUUUUCCUUUUCUGGACAUUUCAUAGAAACUGAACCAUAUAAUGUAUGGUCUCUGUGUCUGGCUUCUCUUACUGAGUGUGAAAGUUUUUGGGUUUCAUUAAUGUCAAAGCGUAUUUUACUACUUCAUUCUUAUCUAUUGACAAAUAAUACUUCAUUGUAUAUGUAUAGCACAUAUUUCUAUUCAUUCAUUAGUUGAUGGAUGUUUAGAUUGUUUCCAAUUUUUGGUUGUUAUGAAUAAUACUCUUAAGAACAUUUGUGUGUGAGUCUUUUUGUGGACAUAUGUUUUCAAUUCCCCUGAAUGGAUACCUGAGGAGAGAAUUCCAGGUAAUAUGAUAAAUUUAUGUUUAACAUUUUGAAGAGCUUCUAAACUGUUUUUUUCAGAGUGGCUGUAUUAGUUUGCUUAGCUGCAUUAACAUGGUACUAUAGACUGGAUGGCUGAAACAACAGAAAUUUAUUUUCUCAUGGUUCUGGCAGCUGGAAGUCCAAAAUCAAGAUGUUGGUUAGUUUGGUUUCUUCUGAGGCCUCCCUCCUUGGCUUGCAGAUGGCCAUUCUCUCUAUGUCCUCACGUAGCCAUUUCUCUGUGUGUGUGUGCUCCUGGUAUCUCUCAGUGUGUUCAAAUUUCUACUUCUUAUAAAGACAGGACACUGCGUUAGGGUCCACCCUAACAGCCUCAUUUUAACUCAGUCACCUCUUUGAAGGACCUACCUACAAAUAUAGUCACAUUCUGAGGUGCUAGGGGUUAGAGCUUCAACAUGUCAAUUUCGGGAGGGAUGCAAUUUAAUCAUAACAGUGGCUGUAACAUCUUUAAUUUUACCAGAAAAGUGUUUCUAGUAAAUUUCUCCACAUUCUUGGCAACAUUUGUUCUUGUCCUUAAAAAAAUAUAGCCAUUUAGAGGGUGUAAAACGAUGUCUUGUGGUUUUAAGUUCAUUUCCCUGACGACUAGUGAUGUUGAUAAUCUUUUCAUAUGCUUAUUAACUAUUAGUAUAUCUUCUUUGAUAAAAUGUCUAUUCAAACACUUUGCCCAUUUUAAAUUGGUGUUUGGCCAGCAAAACUGAAUACAGCCUCUUCUAGUCUAUCUUGGAAAUACCUAUAAUGACAAAGGAACAACAACAACAACAAAACACCGUUAACAGUAAAGAUAAUACACCACAAGAAUAUACAAAGAAAUCUUACACUUCAAAGAUAGAAAAAUCAUGUUAGAAGGUUUCUCAAAUAGAGAUGCUCCUGGACUUAUGAUGGGAUUAAGUUCUGAUAAGCCUAUUGUAAGUUGAAAAUAUCAUAAGUUGAAUAUGCAUUUAAUACAACUAACUUACUAAACAUCAUAGCUUAGUCCAGCCUACCUUAAACAUGCUCAGAACACUUACAUUAGCCUACCAUUGGGCAAAAUCAUGGAACACAAAGCCUAUUUUAAAAUAAAUUAUUGGACAUCUCCUGUAAUUUAUUGAAUACUGUACCUAAAGGGAAAAACAGAAUGGUUGUAUGGGUACUUGACAUAGCAUUUCUACUGAAUACAUUUCACUUUGCAGCAUGGUAAAUUUGAAGAAUUAUUAAGUCAAACCAUCUUAAGUCAGGGACUGUCUGUACAGUUAUAACAACUAAAUUAAUCAGCAUUUUCUCCUAUCUCCAAACAUUAGUUCAUGAGUCACUUAAUGGGGGCUAGGUCUCAGUGAUAUUCUGAAGCAUUUUCUCAACAUGAAUACAUUUUGCUAGAUAAUAACAUGCUAUUUUUCUCUUAUUUUCCUUUGCCAUCAUAUGUGAUGAUUCCCACUCAUGUAGCACUGGAAAAAGCUGACUUCAGAAUCUCUAGGCAGACCUUGGAAACUAGGAUAUCCACAUGGCUACUGUUGGCUAGUCAAUAUGUUUUCAGCUUGUACAACGUUGGACCAUACCUUGUUUUCAAAAUGUUAGCUAUUAAUUGGUUGCCGACAUUAAUAAAUUUAAUUAAGAGAUUACAUAUAAGUAUGUGGAUUUAUGGCUUUAAAAAAUAUAGACCUACAUGCUCAUAUAUAUGAAUUGGCUGAAUGUGAAUAAUUUUCAAUGGUCCCUACCCCUCUCCAUUGGUCCCUGGCAUUGAGUCUGACUGUAACUACCAUUUAUCUUUAUGCUAGUCCUGUUGUUUUACUUACAAUGCAGUUAAGAUAAAAAUGACUUCUUUAUCGCCAUUAAGCUUCUAAAUUUGCAAUCUAUAGGCAUCUAAAUUUGUCUUCCACAGUCUAGACAUCCUGAAAUUGG